UACGUAGGGCGCAAGCGUUGUCCGGAAUUAUUGGGCGUAAAGAGCUCGUAGGUGGCUUGUCGCGUCUGCCGUGAAAGCCCAUGGCUUAACUGUGGGUCUGCGGUGGAUACAGGCUGGCUAGAGGUAGGUAGGGCAAGCGGAAUUCCUGGUGUAGCGGUGAAAUGCGCAGAUAUCAGGAGGAACACCGGUGGCGAAGGCGGGUCUCUGGGCCGAUACUGACGCUGGAGGAGCGAAAGCGUGGGGAGCGAACAG
rnacentral:rRNA from 1 species